UACGUAGGGUGCAAGCGUUGUCCGGAAUUAUUGGGCGUAAAGAGCUCGUAGGCGGUCUGUCGCGUCGGCUGUGAAAACUCGGGGCUCAACCCCGAGCCUGCAGUCGAUACGGGCAGACUAGAGUGCGGUAGGGGGGACUGGAAUUCCUGGUGUAGCGGUGAAAUGCGCAGAUAUCAGGAGGAACACCGGUGGCGAAGGCGGGUCUCUGGGCCGUAACUGACGCUGAGGAGCGAAAGCGUGGGGAGCAAACAGG
rnacentral:rRNA from 1 species